UAAUGUAUAGUUAACGUGCCCCUUAGAGUGGGAUAACGUCUGGAAACGGACGCUAAUACCACAUACUCCUUUUGAUCAUAAGUGAUAAAGGGAAAUGAAUUUCGCUAAGGGAUCGGACUGUAUUGUAUCAGCUAGUUGGUAAGGUAAUGGCUUACCAAGGCUAUGACACAUAGCGGGUCUGAGAGGAUGAUCCGCCACACUGGUACUGAGACACGGACCAGACUCCUACGGGAGGCAGCAGUGGGGAAUAUUGCACAAUGGACGCAAGUCUGAUGCAGCAACGCCGCGUGGAGGAUGACACAUUUCGGUGCGUAAACUCCUUUUAUAAGAGAAGAAAAUGACGGUAUCUUAUGAAUAAGCACCGGCUAACUCCGUGCCAGCAGCCGCGGUAAUACGGAGGGUGCAAGCGUUAUUCGGAAUCACUGGGCGUAAAGAGUAUGUAGGCUGGUUUUUAAGUCAGAUGUGAAAGCCCACGGCUCAACCGUGGAACUGCAUUUGAAACUGGAGACCUAGAGUAUGGAAGGGGCAGAUGGAAUUAGUGGUGUAGGGGUAAAAUCCGUAGAGAUCACUAGGAAUACCGAAAGCGAAGGCGAUCUGCUGGUACAUUACUGACGCUAAGAU
rnacentral:rRNA from 1 species